GGCAAGUCCUUCUUUUCAUUCAACGGAGUCUCGGACACAGACCUAAAUCUGCAUCGUGAAAUUUACUUUUAAUCACGAACUCCUUUUGAAGGAGGGAAGUUAAAACUUUUCCCUUUUAACCAUGAGAGCUAAGUGGCGUAAGAAGCGCAUGCGAAGGCUAAAGCGCAAAAGGAGGAAGAUGCGUGCGAGGUCCAAAUAAUCUGGUACGCAAGUGGAUGUUAGGGUCAUCUAAUGCUGCUAGUGUAUCAAAUAAAAGCUAAAAAAAUCA